rnacentral:rRNA from 1 species
GAUCAUGGUUCAGGACGAACGCUGGCGGCGUGCUUAACACAUGCAAGUCGAACGANAAUCUGCGGAAAGAGGAUUCGUCCAAUUGAAGCAGAGGACAGUGGCGGACGGGUGAGUAACGCGUGAGGAACCUGCCUUUUCAGAGGGGGGACAACAGUUGGGAAACGACUGCUAAUACCGCAUGACAUAUAGAUGUCGCAUGGCAUUUAUAUCAAAGAUUUAUCGCUGAAAGAUGG